rnacentral:RNase_P_RNA from 1 species
UGAGUAAGUCAGAUAGUCGCAUGUACAGUGCCGAAAGGCCGUACAUGAGGAAAGUCCGGGCUCCAUAGGGCAGGAUGCCGGGUAACUCCCGGUGAAGGCGACUUCAAGGAAAGUGCAACAGAGAGAUACCGCCUUAUUGGAGUGAGAGGCUAGAAGUUAGAUGUAGGAUAUGAGAGGUUUCCAACUUCUAAUUUCUCACCUUUCACUUCCAGUAGGGUAAGGGUGGAAAGGUGAGGUAAGAGCUCACCAGCGGCAUGGCGACUUGCCGGCUAUGUAAACCCCAUCUGGAGCAACACCGUAUAGAGAGACAUAUGGUUGCCCGCCAGUCUCGGGCAGGUGGCUUGAGCUUUACAGAAAUGUAAAGCCUAGAUAGAUGACUAUCGAAUACAGAACCCGGCUUAUAGACUUACUCACUAA